AUGAGUUAAGUAUAAACCCCUUUACAAGUAUCAAUUGGAGGGCAAGUCUGGUGCCAGCAGCCGCGGUAAUUCCAGCUCCAAUAGCGUAUAUUAAAGUUGUUGCAGUUAAAAAGCUCGUAGUUGGAUUUCUGUUAAUAGUUUAUAUGGUAUUUUAACGAUAUUAUAUAAUAUUAACAUAAUUCAUAUUACUAUAUAUUUAGUAUAUGAAAUUUUACUUUGAGAAAAUUAGAGUGCUUAAAGCAGGCAUUUGCCUUGAAUACUCCAGCAUGGAAUAAUAUAAAAGAUUUUUAUCUUUUUUAUCGGUUCUAAGAUAAAAAUAAUGAUUAAUAGGGACAGUUGGGGGCAUUUGUAUUUAACAGUCAGAGGUGAAAUUCUUAGAUUUGUUAAAGACAAACUAGUGCGGAAGCAUUUGCCAAGGAUGUUUUCAUUAAUCAAGAACGAAAGUUAGGGGAUCGAAGACGAUCAGAUACCGUCGUAGU
rnacentral:rRNA from 1 species